GAUGAACGCUGGCGGCGUGCCUAAUACAUGCAAGUCGAGCGAACGGACGAGAAGCUUGCUUCUCUUAUGUUAGCGGCGGACGGGUGAGUAACACGUGGAUAACCUACCUAUAAGACUGGGAUAACUUCGGGAAACCGGAGCUAAUACCGGAUAAUAUUUUGAACCGCAUGGUUCAAAAGUGAAAGACGGUCUUGCUGUCACUUAUAGAUGGAUCCGCGCUGCAUUAGCUAGUUGGUAAGGUAACGGCUUACCAAGGCAACGAUGCAUAGCCGACCUGAGAGGGUGAUCGGCCACACUGGAACUGAGACACGGUCCAGACUCCUACGGGAGGCAGCAGUAGGGAAUAUUCCGCAAUGGGCGAAAGCCUGACGGAGCAACGCCGCGUGAGUGAUGAAGGUCUUCGGAUCGUAAAACUCUGUUAUUAGGGAAGAACAUAUGUGUAAGUAACUGUGCACAUCUUGACGGUACCUAAUCAGAAAGCCACGGCUAACUACGUG
rnacentral:rRNA from 1 species